GCGGAGGAAAAGAAACCAACUGGGAUUACCUUAGUAACGGCGAGUGAAGCGGUAAAAGCUCAAAUUUGAAAUCUGGUACUUUCAGUGCCCGAGUUGUAAUUUGUAGAAUUUGUCUUUGAUUAGGUCCUUGUCUAUGUUCCUUGGAACAGGACGUCAUAGAGGGUGAGAAUCCCGUUUGGCGAGGAUACCUUUUCUCUGUAAGACUUUUUCGAAGAGUCGAGUUGUUUGGGAAUGCAGCUCAAAGUGGGUGGUAAAUUCCAUCUAAAGCUAAAUAUUGGCGAGAGACCGAUAGCGAACAAGUACAGUGAUGGAAAGAUGAAAAGAACUUUGAAAAGAGAGUGAAAAAGUACGUGAAAUUGUUGAAAGGGAAGGGCAUUUGAUCAGACAUGGUGUUUUUUGCAUGCACUCGCCUCUCGUGGGCUUGGGCCUCUCAAAAAUUUCACUGGGCCAACAUCAAUUCUGGCAGCAGGAUAAAUCAUUAAGAAUGUAGCUACUUCGGUAGUGUUAUAGCUUUUUGGAAUACUGUUAGCCGGGAUUGAGGACUGCGCUUCGGCAAGGAUGUUGGCAUAAUGGUUAAAUGCCGCCCGUCUUGAAACACGG
rnacentral:rRNA from 1 species